UUCUCAGUGUCUUCCUCCGUCGCAGCAAUAGCCUGGGCAAAGGUCCUCCACAGGCAGUGGGCCUUAAAAGCUGCUAUAAGUCCUUGAUCCAUUGGUUGGAUCAAAGAGAUCAUGUUUGGAGGGAGAAACACCGUUUUGAUAUUGGGAUGAAGAUCACCAAUAAAAGGAGGAGGUCCAGGGGCAUUGGCAACAGUAAGCAAAAUCUUGAAAGGUACUAUUAUUGUUCCCAUUUUAAAGAUGAGGAAACUGUAGCAAUGCCAUAAAUCGGGGGGACACUUAAGGAGUGAUUCUGCUGAGCUGCUGAAGGUCACACCACCUUCUCUUCUGUGUGUCAGUCGCCCCUGCCUCCCUCUUCUAAGAAGAUAUGUGGUUGUAUUGUAUUUAGAGCCUACAUGGAUAAUCCAGGCUAAUCUUCUCAUCCCAAGGUCCAUUAUUCAGCCAAAAGGCAAGAAGAACUAUAGACUGA
rnacentral:lncRNA from 1 species